rnacentral:rRNA from 1 species
UGGGGAAUUUGGACAAUGGGCGCAAGCCUGAUCCAGCCAUGCCGCGUGCAGGAUGAAGGCCUUCGGGUUGUAAACUGCUUUUGUACGGAACGAAAAGACUCCUUCUAAUAAAGGGGGUCCAUGACGGUACCGUAAGAAUAAGCACCGGCUAACUACGUGCCAGCAGCCGCGGUAAUACGUAGGGUGCGAGCGUUAAUCGGAAUUACUGGGCGUAAAGCGUGCGCAGGCGGUUAUGUAAGACAGAUGUGAAAUCCCCGGGCUCAACCUGGGAACUGCAUUUGUGACUGCAUAGCUAGAGUACGGCAGAGGGGGAUGGAAUUCCGCGUGUAGCAGUGAAAUGCGUAGAUAUGCGGAGGAACACCGAUGGCGAAGGCAAUCCCCUGGGCCUGUACUGACGCUCAUGCACGAAAGCGUGGGGAGCAAACA